UUAGUUCGUGGAGUGAUUUGUCUGGUUAAUUCCGAUAACGAACGAGACUCAAAUAUAUUAAAUAGAUAUCUUCAGGAUUAUGGUGUUGAAGCUUAUAUUGCCUUCAUUCAUGGUAGCAGUAAAAUGUUUAUUGUGUUUGAAUGUGUUUAUAUAAGUGGAGCCGUACCUGUUGGUUUGUCCCAUUAUAAGGACACUAGCUUCUUAAAUGGACAAAUUGCGUCUAGCAAUAAUGAGAUUGAGCAAUAACAGGUCUGUGAUGCCCCUUAGAUGUCCUGGGCUGCACGCGCGCUACAAUGAAAGUAUCAACGUGUAUUUCCUAGACCGAGAGGUCCGGGUAAACCGCUGAACCACUUUCAUGCUUGGGAUUGUGAACUGAAACUGUUCACACGAACUUGGAAUUCCUAGUAAUUGUGAGUCAUUAACUCGCAUUGAUUACGUCCCUGCCCUUUGUGCACACCGCCCGUCGCUACUACCGAUUGAAUUAUUUAGUGAGGUCUCCGGACGUGAUCACUGUGACGCCUUGCGUGUUACGGUUGUUUCGCAAAAGUUGACCGAACUUGAUUAUUUAGAGGAAGUAAAAGUCGUAACAAGGUUUCCGUAGGUGAACCUGCGGAAGGAUCAUUA
rnacentral:ncRNA from 1 species